CCUACGGGAGGCUGCAGUGGGGAAUAUUGGGCAAUGGAGGAAACUCUGACCCAGCAACGCCGCGUGAAUGAUGAAGGUCUUCUGAUUGUAAAGUUCUUUUCUAAGGGAAGAAGAAAGUGACGGUACCUUAGGAAUAAGCCUCGGCUAACUACGUGCCAGCAGCCGCGGCAAUACGUAGGAGGCAAGCGUUAGCCGGAUUGACUGGGCGUAAAGGGUGCGUAGGUGGUUUGACAAGUUGGUAGCGUAACUCCGAGGCUUAACCUCGGCACUACUACCAAUACUGUUGGACUCGAGUGCAGGUGCGGCAAAUGGAAUGUCUAGUGUAGCGGUGGAAUGCGUAGAUAUUA
rnacentral:rRNA from 1 species